AGUGUAGGUGGUUGUCCAAGUUGGAUGUGAAAGCCUUGAGCUCAACUCAAGAAAUGCAUUCAGGACUGGAUGGCUAGAGGACCGGAGAGGAUAGUGGAAUUCCCAGUGUAGUGGUGAAAUACGUAGAGAUUGGGAAGAACACCAGUGGCGAAGGCGGCUAUCUGGACGGUUUCUGACACUAAGACUCGAAAGCGUGGGGAGCAAACA
rnacentral:rRNA from 1 species